rnacentral:rRNA from 1 species
AUUGAACGCUGGCGGCAGGCCUAACACAUGCACGUCGAACGAGUGGCGGACGGGUGAGUCAUGUCUGGGAAACUGCCCGAUGGAUGGGGAUAACUACUGGACACAGGUGCUACUCCCGCAUACCAUCGGAUGUGCCCCGCUGGGAUUAGCUAGUUGGUGGGGUAACGGCUCACCUAGGCGACCAUCCCUAGCUGGUCGGAGAGGAUGACCAGCCAAACGGGAACUGAGACACGGUCCAGACUCCUACGGGAGGCAGCAGUGGGGAAUAUUGCACAAUGGGCGCAAGCCUGAUGCAGCCAUGCCGCGUGUAUGAAGAAGGCCUUCGGGUUGUAAAGUACUUUCAGCGAGGAGGCGUUACUCGCAGAAGAAGCACCGGCUAACUCCGUGCCAGCAGCCGCGGUAAUUC